UAAGACCAAGAUAUUUGUCGUAUUGUCAAUUCACAGUUCUGUACGUUGCUUUUGUGAUGAAACUAGAUGGUCCUCGUAUACGUUUCAAGAUCAUGUAUAUCGACCCAAGCAAGAGCUGCAUCAUCCUAAUAAAAGAUCCAACUCAUGGGGAACGACAAUGCAUCCUGCUGCAAACUAGUUCGACUGUUGACAGAGACCCUCCAGUGGACUGCCAGACUAUUUACAGCCAUCAUUGUAGCCGGUGUACAACUGAUGUUUAUUACUUUAGUUGCAAAUCUGUCCUCGUGACCAAUAUCGCUAAACAAGGCACACACAUGAUUAGACAUCCUGGUCGGAUGCAUUUGCAGCCAAAAGGCAAAGCUUGCAAAUAAAGAAAAUUACCUUUGCUUUUUCAAAGUUUAUUAUUCAGCACAAUAUCUCAAUAACUAAUAUGCAAUCAGGAUUUCUGUCAAAAUUUGUUGAAAUAGCUUAUAUGCUUCAUCAGGCAAAAAAAAAUGUUCUGCUCCUUCCCUCUUUCGAGGGGAAACCAUGAAGUUAUACGUAAUUUUGAUAAAAGAUGAAUUAGUAAAAUAAAAAGGCCGGCCAGAUUUAUGGUGAAAAAAAAAUAUGCGGGUGCCACGCACUGUAUUAAUCCGUUUAGGCGAAGCUUUCAUUGGUAUUUCAUAAGAACGCUGUACCUGCUUUCGACCAUUUGAAUGUAUAGACUACAUAACUCUGUUGGAUGUAUUUUCUCUGGGAACCGAUUACUUAAUUACUUACGCAACCCGAUUUCCGGUUUACGAUUAAUUACGCAACCCAAUUUCCGGAAUACUGGUACACUCACGUACCCAUUACGGCAUGCUACGUUCUGGACUGCCUGAGCUUACUAAAUGAACUGAUGAGUAACGAAAACGAUGUGCUGUCGUGUUCUCCAGUUGAUCCUUUUACCUUUUUUCAUGGCUCUAAAUGAUUCAGUUGUCUUUCUUCUUGUCUAAACUAUGUCUGAUUGAAUUAUGAUUCAAAUAUGUCUGUCUUUAUUGACUCGAUGAUCAAUGCUUUUUCUGAUUUAUAUAAUCCCUAAUUUUUUAUAGUCAUUGCGAAAUAUGUUGCUCCACCCUGCUGCUCCGAUGUUUCUGGGUUCUUGGGACCAGUCAAGUUGCCAUAAGCAGCUUCUUUUCCCACUUUCCCACCACAACGCUGUAUUGUACUUGUUUUGUGGAAAUAAACAUUCAUUCAUUCAUUCA